rnacentral:rRNA from 1 species
AAGUUUUGUUUGCUUUCAUAACUAGAACAUAGACUUAGUAGCGGCCAUCGUGUUUGGAAAGCGUAAUAGCUCACUAGUAUAGCAAUACAAAGCUUUGAUAUGUUUGGUUUUUUUUUUAAAAAAAUAGCCGAAGCUCGCCGAUAACAU